rnacentral:lncRNA from 1 species
GCUCCAAGCACAAAGAAGAGCAACUGUAAACUCUCAGAAGCCAGAGACAAAAUGGUUUCCUCAGGGGCAGCAAGUCAAAACUGCAAGUCAUGUAGCUGAAGAAUGUGCAAAGGAGAAAGUUUUCACCUAAUGUAACACCCAGAACCAAAGCUUGCCCCUGCUGCACAGAACCCAAGGACCGGGACACGACCACAAGUCGAAAGCUGGAAACUUUUCAGAAAGAAGGAUCCAUUGUCCAGGAAGAUCUGGUGUUAAAGCCCCUUUUCAUAUCCCAUAAUUGGUCUUCUUUAAAGUCCUUCCAAUCAAAAUCUCUUGCCAGCACUUCCACAUACCAGCCUGUCUCCCUAAUCCCUUAAAUUCUACCCCAAACCCUGGAUCAGGGAGACAAAUUUGCACCCUGC